CCUACGGGGGGCAGCAGUGAGGAAUAUUGGUCAAUGGACGAGAGUCUGAACCAGCCAAGUAGCGUGAAGGAUGACUGCUCUAUGGUUUGUAAACUUCUUUUAUAAAGGAAUAAAACGCGGCACGUGUGCCUUUUUGCAUGUACUUUAUGAAUAAGGAUCGGCUAACUCCGUGCCAGCAGCCGCGGUAAUACGGAGGAUCCGAGCGUUAUCCGGAUUUAUUGGGUUUGAAGGGUGCGUAGGCGGGUUGUUAAGUCAGUUGUGAAAGUUUGCGGCUCAACCGUAAAAUUGCAGUUGAUACUGGCAGUCUUGAGUACAGUUGAGGUAGGCGGAAUUCGUGGUGUAGCGGUGAAAUGCUUAGAUAGCACGAAGAACCCCGAUUGCGAAGGCAGCUUACUAAGCUGUGACUGACACUGAUGCUCGAAAGUGUGGGUAUCAAACAGGAUUAGAUACCCGAGUAGUC
rnacentral:rRNA from 1 species